rnacentral:rRNA from 1 species
UACGUAGGUGGCGAGCGUUGUCCGGAUUUACUGGUCGUAAAGGGAGCGUAGGCGGACUUUUAAGUGAGAUGUGAAAUACCCGGGCUCAACUUGGGUGCUGCAUUUCAAACUGGAAGUCUAGAGUGCAGGAGAGGAGAAUGGAAUUCCUAGUGUAGCGGUGAAAUGCGUAGAGAUUAGGAAGAACACCAGUGGCGAAGGCGAUUCUCUGGACUGUAACUGACGCUGAGGCUCGAAAGCGUGGGGAGCAAACAGGAUUAGAUACCCCGGUAGU